GUCAUUUCUAGUCUGGACCAGUUCCUUCUAUUAAGUGAAUGAGGUCACACCUGAAGUGGGAUAGGAAAGAUGCUAUGAACUUUGCAUUUUGAAUUUUUUUAAAAUUUCACCAUAAAUGGGAUCUCUUGCCCAUGAAUAAAUACACUACAAAUUGGAUCAGGGAAGUUGCCAUGGAUGCCGACUCAAGACUUAACUGUGCCCCUCCCCCAGCAUCUUGAGUAUAGAGAGCUUGUCAAUGUCAUUGUGAUGUCUAGAACCUCUAGAACAGAAAACACAAGUUAAAGGGACUCAAAUGAACAUACCCGGAAGACAGAGGCUGAUGAAUGCUUUAGUCUUCAUGUCACCCAAAGCAGCUCAAAAGUCAGAACACAUCUGGAUCUUUAUUUGCAGUUCUAGUUUAGUUAACAAGAUUCUUCCCUUUGGAAUUGCUGAAGUAUGACGAAUGGCCUCUAAGUGGCCGAUCUCUAGACACCCAACACCUCUUCAUGUCGGGCCACACCACGAAGGUCCCACAUGACACUGAGAAGGAAGCUGUCCCUGGCCCAGGAAGCUUGGACUAUCUCCCAGAAAUGGAAGACAAAAAUUAAGAUACAAAAUGAAACAUAUAUCAAUAUAGUUGUCUGCUAUAAACCCUAUGUGAAGUAGAAUGACUGUAAAACUUUCUGUGAUUUUUUCAUCCAGUGACACAUAAUAUAUCACAACUAAAGAGGGAAUCUUGAAGAUCUUGCUCCCUAUUCACAAAUUACAAUCACCAUCAUUAAUGUUAGGGUUACAAUAAAAAAAUCCCACUCAGUUUCUCAACUGUCAUACCA
rnacentral:lncRNA from 1 species